UGAUUAUAUUUUAAGAUUUGUUCUGCUCAAUGAUAAUAAAUUAAUUAAAUAGCCGCAGUAAUUUGACUGUGCAAAGGUAGCAUAAUCAAUUGUCUUUUAAUUAGAGACUUGGAUGAAGGAAUGAAUGAAAUUUAAACUGUCUAUAAUAAAAAAUUAAAAUUUAAAUUUUAAGUUAAAAUGCUUAAAUAGAAUUAUGGGACGAGAAGACCCUAUAGAAUUUUAUAUAAAUUUUUAAGUAAUUAUAUAUAAGUAAAAAAAUUAUAUUUAAAAUUAUAUUUUAUUGGGAGGAUAAUUAAAUUAAUUUAACUUUUUAUAAUUAUUUAUGUAUUAUAUAUGUUGUGUAUAUAUAAUUUAAGACCAUUGAUUUAUGAAAAAAUGAAUAAAUUUUUAUUAAAUUUAUAUU
rnacentral:rRNA from 1 species